UACGUAGGGGGCGAGCGUUGUCCGAAGUUACUGGGCGUAAAGAGCUCGUAGGUGGUUUGUCGCGUUGUUCGUGAAAUCUCACGGCUUAACUGUGAGCGUGCGGGCGAUACGGGCAGACUGGAGUACUGCAGGGGAGACUGGAAUUCCUGGUGUAGCGGUGGAAUGCGCAGAUAUCAGGAGGAACACCGGUGGCGAAGGCGGGUCUCUGGGCAGUAACUGACGCUGAGGAGCGAAAGCGUGGGGAGCGAACAGG
rnacentral:rRNA from 1 species